rnacentral:lncRNA from 1 species
GUAUUUUUAAGGAAUGACUAUAAAAAUAGUUUUUUUAAAAAAUUAUUAUUAUUCUUUGAUCUAUAGUUUUCUAGCUGUGGCAACUGAGACAAAGAGAAGGUAAAUGAUCAGCUGGCAGACAAGCACAAAACUCCAGCUCCCCAGAUUACUUCGCUGCUCCCAUCUGCUGGCUGACAUUCUCUUCUUUACUGCAGGAAACAUGGUCAGUGACUAAUAACUAUUUAUUGAUCUCUGCUUGAGAUACUUGCUGAGAAAUGUAGAUAUCAAUGAAUAUUUGAUCUGAAUUAAUGCUAACAACAACAGUUUUUCCUUUAUUGCCUCAUUUAUGUAGGAUAUUCAUGCCUGCAUGAUCACUUGUAAACAGUAGCUGGCCCUACAAUCUGAGGAGAAGGGUAUAUCAGUGGGAUAAACUCUAAUGAAUUAAAAUGCUAUUCAUUGUACUAUUUCUUAGCCAAAAGUUACCACUGUAGUUGUUGUUUGAGGGGCAAGUCAAAAUAUUAUUGAUUCUCAGCAGCUGUACUUGAUAAGUAGAAUAUAGGUCUAAUUCAAAGCCCAUUGCAAUCAAUUAAAGGGACUUCCUAUUGAUUGUAGGAGGCUUUAGAUUCUUUUCUAAGCUAGACCUGCUUGUUGCUCUCUCUCUUUCUCCUCCUGUAUUCCAUUCUUUUUGUUUUGUGCCCUUUCAUUCUCCACAGCUGCUCUGGUGGGAAGGGACCAAGGCAGUGUUCCUUAGGAGAAAAGGACAUGCCAGGCCUGUAUGGAAAUCAGUGAGACCUGAAACAUUGGUAUUUACCUAUGCAAGUUGAAAGGUUUCUGGGCAGCAGUGAGAAUUUGUGCAUGCACAUUUUCAAGUUUGUAUAUGACUGAUUCACUCCAAUACAAUUUCUGCUCUUACAUCAGAAAAGCAGCUUGAGUAUUCUUAAUGGCUUUUAAAAUUGAAUUGUGAUGAUGACUCAGAAGAGAGUAUAGCUGAAGAUGGA